rnacentral:rRNA from 1 species
UGCCGGCACCCCGAGUGGUCGGGACGUUUAUUGGGCCUAAAGCAUCCGUAGCCGGUUCUACAAGUCUUCCGUUAAAUCCAACUGCUUAACAGGUGGGCUGCGGAAGAUACUAUAGAGCUAGGAGGCGGGAGAGGCAAGCGGUACUCGAUGGGUAGGGGUAAAAUCCGUUGAUCCAUUGAAGACCACCAGUGGCGAAGGCGGCUUGCCAGAACGCGCUCGACGGUGAGGGAUGAAAGCUGGGGGAGCAAACCGG